CAUAUCAAUAAGCGGAGGAAAAGAAACUAACAAGGAUUCCCCUAGUAACUGCGAGUGAAGCGGGAAAAGCUCAAAUUUAAAAUCUGUCAGCCUUUGGCUGUCCGAGUUGUAAUCUAGAGAAGUGUUAUCCGCGCUGGACCGUGUACAAGUCUCCUGGAAUGGAGCGUCAUAGAGGGUGAGAAUCCCGUCUUUGACACGGACUGCCAGGGCUUUGUGAUGCGCUCUCAAAGAGUCGAGUUGUUUGGGAAUGCAGCUCAAAAUGGGUGGUAAAUUCCAUCUAAAGCUAAAUAUUGGCGAGAGACCGAUAGCGAACAAGUACCGUGAGGGAAAGAUGAAAAGAACUUUGGAAAGAGAGUUAAACAGUACGUGAAAUUGCUGAAAGGGAAACGCUUGAAGUCAGUCGCGUUGUCCAGGGAUCAACCUUGCUUUUGCUUGGUGUACUUUCUGGUUAACGGGUCAGCAUCAAUUUUGACUGUUGGAAAAAGAUCAGGGGAAUGUGGCAUCUUCGGAUGUGUUAUAGCCCUUGGUUGCAUACAAUGGUUGGGAUUGAGGAACUCAGCACGCCGCAAGGCCGGGUUUUAACCACGUACGUGCUUAGGAUGCUGGCAUAAUGGCUUUAAUCGACCCGUCUUGAAACACGGACCAAGGAGUCUAACAUGCCUGCGAGUGUUUGGGUGGAAAACCCGAGCGCGUAAUGAAAGUGAAAGUUGAGAUCCUUGUCAUGGGGAGCAUCGACGCCCGGACCAGACCUUUUGUGACGGUUCCGCGGUAGAGCAUGUAUGUUGGGACCCGAAAGAUGGUGAACUAUGCCUGAAUAGGGUGAAGCCAGAGGAAACUCUGGUGGAGGCUCGUAGCGAUUCUGACGUGCAAAUCGAUCGUCAAAUUUGGGUAUAGGGGCGAAAGACUAAUCGAACCAUCUAGUAGCUGG
rnacentral:rRNA from 1 species